rnacentral:rRNA from 1 species
GACGAACGCUGGCGGCGUGCUUAACACAUGCAAGUCGAACGGAAAGGCCUGCUUUCCCUUGUGGAUUGCGGGUACUCGAGUGGCGAACGGGUGAGUAACACGUGAGUGAUCUGCCCCCAACUUGGGUAUAAGCCUGGGAAACUGGGUCUAAUUCCCGAUAGGACUGCAGGGUGGUGCCUGUGGUGGAAAACGAUUUUCUAGUGGUUGGGGAUGAGCUCGCGGCCUAUCAGCUUGUUGGUGGGGUAAUGGCCUACCAAGGCGGCGACGGGUAGCCGGCCUGGGAGGGUGGACGGCCACAUUGGGACUGAGAUACGGCCCAGACUCCUACGGGAGGCGGCAGUGGGAAUAUUGCACAAUGGGCGGAAGCCUGAUGCAGCGACGCCGCGUGGGGGAUGACGGCCUUCGGGUUGUAAACUCCUUUCGACCGCGAGGAAGCCACCUGGUUGGAAGGGUGGUGACGGUAGUGGUAGAAGAAGCACCGGCUAACUACGUG